CAUCUAUUACUUUGAAAUCCAACCUCAGCUCAGCAGCGUAGCACGCGUACAAGAUUCAACAGAGACAUCCAAACACCUCUCUGCAAAAUGUUUUYGGAGCGUGUACCCCGCUGAAAGUCUCCUCCAAGUUCUUUGCUGUUGCCCAGCCAACACCUGAGGGAUCUCGAACAAACCUGGGAGUAAUUAAAAUUCAAAGCUUCAGCAUUCAGAUACUUUUUACACUUUUGCUUCCAACUAGCAAGAAAUUUUCCAGACAGGCUUUUAAUUAACAGGAUGCACUUGGAACUGCAGUGCUUUGAGAUUUGCAAAUAUGUUUUCCUUGGGACAGAUAUACCAUGGAGUAAGUGUUGCAUUAAAUGCAAUUGAAGAGUUUGUCAGUGACUUUGGCUACUGGUUGCUAGAGCUUACUUUAUGGUAUACUUUGGCCCUGCCAAAUGCUGGGGUCACGUCAGAACUCGUCAUCCAGACUGGCACCGGAGCRAGGGGAGAGGCCCAGGAGCCUCCAGACAGAGGCACUUGCAGGAGGUGGCCCUGGCC